rnacentral:rRNA from 1 species
UACGGAGGGGGCGAGCGUUAUUCGGAAUUAUUGGGCGUAAAGGGCGCGUAGGCGGCUUGACAAGUCAAAGGUGAAAUCCCUCGGCUCAACUGAGGAACUGCCUUUGAAACUGUCAGGCUUGAGGCCGGGAGGGGUAGCGGAAUUCCCAGUGUAGCGGUGAAAUGCGUAGAUAUUGGGAGGAACACCAGUGGCGAAGGCGGCUACCUGGACCGGUACUGACGCUGAUGGCGCGAAAGCGUGGGUAGCAAACGAGG